AGAGCGAGGAGCGCGAGACGGCCACGAAAAUACGGAGAUGGAGACGGAGUGCGUGGGGGGAGGAAAGGGAAGAGGAGGAGAGCGAGAAAAGCGGGCUAAGCGGAUUCCGGCGCGGUGGAUAACUCGGCACGGUCAAUGAUCGCGGCUCGAUACCUCCGAGCAUUGGGUAGAGAGAGAGAGAGAGAUCGGUGAUGGGAGGAGGAAGAGGAGGAUGACUCGAGUGCGUGGCUGAUAAUAGGAGGCUCUCGAGUGGAUGAGCUGGAAAAAGGUCUCGGUGGCGUCUACGGGUGGCGUUGAAUAACUGGCUGGAAAUUUUUCGAGGGAAAAUCGACGUGAUUACAUUAGGGAGGAAAUUAACUCGUCUUUGAAGCUUCGGAUCCGAAACAGGGGAAAGCUCGUAGCGUUCAAAAGACGAAUAUUGACUUUCGACUAUUUCGUCGUGCAGGAAUUCGAAUACACUUAAUCGAAUCCGUCCUUGAUGACGGUUUCAAUUUAUUUUAGCGAACGGCGUGUUUGAUGAGGAAACACGUAUCACCGAAUUUCAGACUUCUGGAUUAACCAGCCAUUAAGUUCCCUCCUCGGCCCAGAAUUUCCAGAAAUCCCCCCACAUUCGAUCUACAUUCGCGUGUGGGUCACCUCACGGUCAUCGAAAUAAAAGAAAAAAAGGAGCAAACGCGCGAGAUAAAUGGAAAAAAACCGGGCAAAGAAUACAUCAAGCUGUCGAGAAUUCGAAAGUUUUCGUAUCACCGAAACAUCUUUCGAGCCUAUAAGCCGUCGCAUAGUCUCAAAACGACACCCAUCGGGGUGAUAAAUCGGGAAAUACAAAGGGAACGACAGACUCGUAUAAUUUAUACCGAAUGAAAAAUGGACGCGGAUGACGAUGAUUCGCCAAUGAAUCAUCGCGGAUUCGCGGUGUUCGUCGUGGAAACUGGGACGAGUUCCUAUUCGAUUUCGCAUCCCUAUCCUCUGAUCGAUGAUCGCGGGUUGUAGAUCGGAUCUUUGGAAUCAGAGGCAAAGUGAAAAACGAAUGAUGGAAUUAACCAUCGCGUUUCUAAAAUCACCGAGAGUUCAAAAGGAGAGUAGAUUCGAUCGAAUUGAUUUCGGCUGAACCGAAAUUCGAUCAACGAAUAUUCGAUGGAGAUGUUGGUUCGUCAAAAAAUUCAGACGAUUCUUUUCGUCGGAUAUACUCGAAGGAUAAAAUCAUUUUCAUAUUUAUUUACGAGAGCCUCGAAGAAGUUGGGACCAAAGAUCCUGGAUUUGUUCGAGUUCGACGAAAGAAAUCUAUCGAUGGGCGAGAAGAAAGUUUGGAUUAUUCGAUAAAAUAUCGAGAUACACGUAGAGGAGUUAUAUAUAGACCGGUAUGCAGAAAUCAAUACACGGCGAUAUCAACUGGUAGGGUUUCCAAACGGACGCCUAAUUUUAAUCAAACAACCAGGGCUCGAGACGAUUUUUCUCCCGACAACGAUUACGUAAACGCUUCAAUUAACGAUACAUCCCCUCUUGUUACGUAACGAACCUUCCUCCAGGAAGUUUAAAACCCCUAAAAUGUUUCGCAACUCUCCUCAACUUCCGCCUAGAAACCACACCCACAACACAACACCUAAAAUUAAUCCGUUUAAUUAUCGAGUAAUUCGAGGCAGCUUUGCAUCGAUAGAAACUUACCUAAUUCUCCUCAUCGAUUUAUCGAUGGAAUCGACGACUGACAAUCAUACAUAUUUAAAUCUAUCGUGGAAAUAAUAAUUAAAAUUUCGCUCGGUCAAUCUCUUAGAUAAAUUAAAACGAAUUAAUAAACUUUUGUAUUUUAAUUGUAUCUUUACGUGUGAAAAUUUAUCAAAUAUUAAAGUCUAUAUUAAAUCGACGUAUGUUAUUCUUGAUCGUAUACAUAAAUCUAUUAUUUAUUUAAUUACGAAACUUUUGUAUUUUAACAUUUUACGUACGUUUACGUGUAGAAAAAAUUUGUCGAAUAUUAAAAUCUAUAUUAAAUCGAUAUUAUUCUUGACUGAUGAUAUAAAUCUGUCAUAAAACUUGAAAUGAUUUCACGCGCGAAUUAAUAAACUUUUGAAUUUUAAUUGCAUCUUAUGUAUCUUUACGUGUGAAAAUUUAUCAAAUAUUAAAUCGUAUGUUAUUAUU